AGUGGCUAUUGGUUUUGACCCCUGCCACAACUAUCAACCCAAAUUCCUGGAUAUAUUUCUUCACCCGUGUUUGCUGUGAACAUUUUUGGCUUUGCACUGAAUCAUGUAUUCCGCCAUAGGUCUAUUGUGUGCAAGCUGGGACCAUAAAAAGUGACCCAGAAAUCAUGUUUCCUGCAAGCCUUCAAAUUCUAGCUGCAAUAAACAGCUCAGAAAGAUUCUUCGACUGGCUGCUCAUUCGUUGCAGGAAGCAAGUAGAGGAGAGACCAAAUGUUUGCAAUUAGAUUCUGCACUUAGAGGAAAGGGAGAAGGGAAAGAGAGAAAUUGAAGGGCAUGAAGGGUCAUGUUGUUUCCAGGCUUAUUCCAAUGAAUUCUUCAGCUGUACCAGAAAACCCCAAACUCCUGCCUCCUUUACUCCUCUCAUGUGCAGAAGGAGAAAGGGAGAAGUAACUGUUGCUAAGGAAAAAGAAUAUCUCACGGCAUCAAUCAUUCCAUACAUACAGCACUUUCUAUAUUUUCUAUGAUUUCAUUGAGAAUUUUUUAUAUCUUACAGAAACAAUGUUACUGGGUUCCUUAACAAAAUUACAGAAAAAUUCAUUCAGUAUUAUAUGCACAGUCAAUGUCAUCAUAAGGUAACACACUUGUUUUGCUUGGUUUUCUUGCUUCUUAUACUUUACAUUUGAUGUGUGAGGGAGACGUACUACAUACUGUAAAUAUUCAUAAGAUAUUCAAGUUUGAUGUUAUUUGUUCAGAUACAAAUGGCUCUGGAUACUAGACUUGUCACAAAUAAGAAAAGCCAGAAGUACAUGUGGACUGAAAUAAACAUAUUUCACAAAAAAGAGGCAUGUUUUUUAAAAAUGUAAAGGUUUCCCCUGAUGUUAAGUCCAGUCGUGUCCAACUCUGGGAGUUGGUGUUCAUCUCCAUUUCUAAGCUGAAGAGCCGGCGUUAUCUGUAGACACCUCCAAGGUCAUGUGGCCGGCAUGACUGCAUGGAGCGCUGUUACCUUCCCGCUGAAGCAGUACCUAUUGAUCUACUCACACUUGCAUGUUUUCGAACUGCUAGGUUGGCAGAAGCUGGAGCUAACAGUGGGUGCUAACUCCACUUCCUGGAUUCGAACCUGCAACCUUUCAGUUGGCAAGUUUAGCAACUCAGCGCUUUAACGAACUGCACCACUGGGGGCUCCCCAUGUUUUUAAGAAGCAUUUUUUAUUUUCCUUUAAGAUAUGUUACAGAAACCAUUACAUAUACACAUUAUUUUUAUUUCUGUGUCCUUUAUUUUUUUAAAAAAAUAAUAAUUGUUGAGCUACAUACUAGGGGUUUUAUUGUCCGAAGCUGCUAUCCCACAGCAGUUGCAUGGUGAUCAUCAAUACCGUGUUUCCCCGAAAAUAAGACAGUGUCUUAUAUUAAUUUUUGCUCCCAAAGAUGUGCUAGGUCUUAUUUUCAGGGGAUGUCUUAUUUUUCCAUGAAGAAGAAUUCACAUUUAUUGUUGAACAAAAAAAUGAACAUUUAUUAUAUACUGUACAGUAGUUGUCAUCACAAACCAGCAUAACCAGACAAACUGUGAAUCCUAUCAAUAAUUUCUUGUUACUACCAUUAUUUCCAUGUACAACUGGUAUGUACAUUUACCAAUCCUGCAUGCUCUGAUGUUCUGU